GAGUGAACGCUGGCGGUCGGCCUAACACCUGCAAGUCGAACGGCAGCACAGUAUGAGCUUGCUCUUACGGGUGGCGAGUGGCGGACGGGUGAGGUAUACAUCGGAAUCUACUUUUUCGUGGGGGAUAACGUAGGGAAACUUACGCUAAUACCGCAUACGACCUACGGGUGAAAGCAGGGGAUCUUCGGACCUUGCGCGAUUGAAUGAGCCGAUGUCGGAUUAGCUAGUUGGCGGGGUAAAGGCUCACCAAGGCGACGAUCCGUAGCUGGUCUGAGAGGAUGAUCAGCCACACUGGAACUGAGACACGGUCCAGACUCCUACGGGAGGCAGCAGUGGGGAAUAUUGGACAAUGGGCGCAAGCCUGAUCCAGCCAUACCGCGUGGGUGAAGAAGGCCUUCGGGUUGUAAAGCCCUUUUGUUGGGAAAGAAAAGCAGCAGGUUAAUACCCCGCUGUUCUGACGGUACCCAAAGAAUAAGCACCGGCUAACUUCGUG
rnacentral:rRNA from 1 species